rnacentral:rRNA from 1 species
AUAAGACGAGAAGACCCUAUGGAGCUUUAACUAACCAACCCAAAGAGAAUAGAUUUAACCAUUAAGGAAUAACAACAAUCUCCAUGAGUUGGUAGUUUCGGUUGGGGUGACCUCGG